CGGCGGACGGGUGAGUAACACGUGGAUAACCUACCUAUAAGACUGGGAUAACUUCGGGAAACCAGAGCUAAUACCGGAUAAUAUAUUGAACCGCAUGGUUCAAUAGUGAAAGACGGUUUUGCUGUUACUUAUAGAUGGAUCCGCGCCGCAUUAGCUAGUUGGUAAGGUAACGGCUUACCAAGGCAACGAUGCGUAGCCGGCCUGAGAGGGUGAUCGGCCACACUGGAACUGAGACACGGUCCAG
rnacentral:rRNA from 1 species